AGAGUUUGAUCCUGGCUCAGAUUGAACGCUGGCGGCAGGCCUAACACAUGCAAGUCGAGCGGAAACGAGAAGUAGCUUGCUACUUCGGCGUCGAGCGGCGGACGGGUGAGUAAUGCCUAGGAAGUUGCCCAGUAGAGGGGGAUAACCAUUGGAAACGAUGGCUAAUACCGCAUAAUCUCUUUGGAGCAAAGCAGGGGACCUUCGGGCCUUGCGCUAUUGGAUACGCCUAGGUGGGAUUAGCUAGUUGGUGAGGUAAUGGCUCACCAAGGCAACGAUCCCUAGCUGGUCUGAGAGGAUGAUCAGCCACACUGGAACUGAGACACGGUCCAGACUCCUACGGGAGGCAGCAGUGGGGAAUAUUGCACAAUGGGCGAAAGCCUGAUGCAGCCAUGCCGCGUGUAUGAAGAAGGCCUUCGGGUUGUAAAGUACUUUCAGUCGUGAGGAAGGGGGUAAGCUUAAUACGCUUAUCUCUUGACGUUAGCGACAGAAGAAGCACCGGCUAACUCCGUGCCAGCAGCCGCGGUAAUACGGAAGGUGCGAGCGUUAAUCGGAAUUACUGGGCGUAAAGCGCAUGCAGGUGGUUCAAUAAGUCAGAUGUGAAAGCCCCGGGCUCAACCUCGGAACUGCAUUUGUAACUGUUGGACUAGAGUACUGUAGAGGGGGGUAGAAUUUCAGGUGUAGCGGUGAAAUGCGUUGAGAUCUGAAGGAAUACCAGUGGCGAAGGCGGCCUUCUGGACAGAUACUGACACUCAGAUGCGAAAGCGUGGGUAGCAAACAGGAUUAGAUACCCUGGUAGUCCACGCUGUAAACGAUGUCUACUUGGAGGUUGUGGCCUUGAGCCGUGGCUUUCGGAGCUAACGCGUUAAGUAGACCGCCUGGGGAGUACGGUCGCAAGAUUAAAACUCAAAUGAAUUGACGGGGGCCCGCACAAGCGGUGGAGAAUGUGGUUUAAUUCGAUGCAACGCGAAGAACCUUACCUACUCUUGACAUCCAGAGAAUUCGCUAGAGAUAGCUUAGUGCCUUCGGGAACUCUGAGACAGGUGCUGCAUGGCUGUCGUCAGCUCGUUGCGUGAGAUGUUGGGUUAAGUCCCGUAACGAGCGCAACCCUUGUCCUUAUUUGCCAGCACGUAAUGGUGGGAACUUUAGGGAUACUGCCGGUGAUAAGCCGGAGGAAGGUGGGGACGACGUCAAGUCAUCAUGGCCCUUACGGGAUGGGCUACACACGUGCUACAAUGGUGCAUACAGAGGGUUGCCAACCAGCGAUGGGGAGCUAAUCCCAGAAAGUGCAUCUUAGUCCGGAUUGGAGUCUGCAACUCGACUCCAUGAAGUCGGAAUCGCUAGUAAUCGUGGAUCAGAAUGCCACGGUGAAUACGUUCCCGGGCCUUGUACACACCGCCCGUCACACCAUGGGAGUGGGAUGCAAAAGAAGUGGCUAGUUUAACCUUUCGGGGAGGACGGUCACCACUUUGUGUUUCAUGACUGGGGUGAAGUCGGAACAAGGUAACC
rnacentral:rRNA from 1 species